CAAGAGGACUAUUUUAGGGCAGCAUCCCUAAUAGCCGGGGCUUCAACAUCCACCAAUAACCGUGCUGAGGAGUCGCCUCACUGCCCGGGGAGCAACACACACAAAAUGUUGAGAGAACUCAGCAAGUCAGGAGGGAGAUAUCCCCGUUAGAUCCUCUGAUUUCUCAUCCUUCUACUCCAUUACCUCCCAACAUCAUCAUCGCAAAGCCAGUGCCCCAGAACCUUGAUCCUAACUCAGUGCAUGCUAAUGUUUGUGCUCUGCGAACUGCCCUCACCCCGCCUCUCCCCUUGUCAACUGGUCAUCAGGACAGGUCUCGGACAGAAAUUCCCUACCAGGCCACACUGACCUGCUGAGUUCCUCUAGCAUCGUUUGUGAAUUGCUCCAGAUUACCAGCAAGUGCAGUCUCUCUUGUAUCUGAACGCUGCCAGAAGAUGUCUUUGGGACAGAGAGCUCCUAUACAACAUCAGUGUCCAGCCCAGUGUUAUUUAUCCUUUUGAGACAGAAUGUAGAUGCUGAAAUUCAGAGAAUCAAACAACCUGCUGCAAGAACACAGGUUGAGCAGCAUCUGUGGGAGGAAAAGGAACGGACAAUUCCUUUUAAAGACUGCCCCAUCUUUCAAUUACAAAGAAUUACCCUGACAGCAUAGUGCUGUAUCCAAACUAUGGAAGCUGGUGGCAAGGAGGAGAGGCAUCAACAUCUUACGGAGUCCAGAUAGAAUGCAGAGAAGAUAAACGGAAUACUUAUGAUGGGCUGGAGAGCAGGAGCAAUUGAGUGAUGCUGAUGGUGCUGGACAAGAGAGGCUAAGGGGCUGAAACAAAAGGUAUCUUUGAAGGAGGUGUACGUACGAUGAAAUGAAUGAAAUCUGAAAUACCUGAAGAGGAGAGAGAA